rnacentral:rRNA from 1 species
UGAUGUGAAAGCUCACGGCUCUACCCCUGGAGGGUCAUUGGAAACUGGGAGACUUGAGUGCAGAAGAGGAAAGUGGAAUUCCAUGUGUAGCGGUGAAAUGCGUAGAGAUAUGGAGGAACACCAGUGGCGAAGGCGACUUUCUGGUCUGUAACUGACACUGAGGCGCGAAAGCGUGGGGAGCAAACAGGAUUAGAUACCCUGGUAGUCCACGCCGUAAACGAUGAGUGCUAAGUGUUAGAGGGUUUCCAGCCCUUUAGUGACAUGAUAGUUAACGCAGUAAGCACUACCGCUGGGAGUACGCCGUCAG